CGGGGUGGGGGACCCUCCUCGGGCCUCCUCCCCUCUGCUGAGCAAGGGGACCUAUCCUGCCCCGGGCAGUGCCCUCCGGCUGCUCCUCCCAGGCCCCAGAAGCCCGCCCCCCAACCCCAGGCACCACGAAGGAAGAAAUGCGCCCACAGUCGCUCGCGUUUUGUUAAAAUCACUCUGUUCCAGCUGAGCACGCAGCUGGCGAGCUCCAGCCCCCCGGCUCCCGUGGUUCGGGGUCUGUAACGGGCGUCUCCAGAGGAAUCUGGGUGCCAGGCCACUGGAAAGUAGGUGCCAGCUGAGCGCCAGCACCCUCCCCGGUGGGUGCCAGGUGCAUGCGGGGGUGGCACUAGCCUUAGAGCUGGACCACACGGACCAGGUGCGUGGGCAGUCCAGGUGCCAGGCAGGCAGUCCAGGUGCCAGGCGGGCAGUCCAGGUGCCAGGCGGGCAGUCCAGGGGUGCCAGGCGGGCAGUCCAGGGGUGCGGGAUGGGCAUUCCAGGUGCCAGGCGGGCAGUCCAGGUGCCAGGCGGGCAGUCCAGGGGUGCGGGAUGGGCAGUCCAGGUGCCAGGCGGG